AGAUGAGGGUGAUCUGGCUGUGACAUCUGUCACCCCAUUGAUCAGAAGGGUUAAUUUAUCUGAAAUGGCUCAGUAGUUAUCUCCAUACUUCCCAGUCCUUGCACAUGUGCUCCUCCCAAAGCUUCAUGGGAAAACAUCAUUAUCAUGCCUUAAUUAAUAGUGUCUGCAAGCAGCCAAGCUCUCCUGCUAGAACUUCCCAAAAAACUUUUGCUGUUCUUGCUAUGCAUUGGCACUUUCCUUUCCCCCAACUCAAACUCUAUGUCAGUGCUGCAGUU
rnacentral:snRNA from 1 species